GACGAACGCUGGCGGCGUGCUUAACACAUGCAAGUCGAACGGAAAGGCCCCUUUUGGGGUACUCGAGUGGCGGACGGGCGGGUAACACGUGAGUAACCUGCCCUCGACUUCGUGAUAACUUCAGGAAACUGAGGCUAAUACCGAAUAGGUAUCCUUGCUGCAUGGUUGGGGGUGGAAAGCUUCGGCGGUUUUGGAUGGACUCGCGGCUUAUCAGCUUGUUGGUGGGGUAGUGGCUUACCAAGGCUUUGACGGGUAGCCGGCCUGAGAGGGCGACCGGCCACAUUGGGACUGAGAUACGGCCCAGACUCCUACGGGAGGCAGCAGUGGGGAAUAUUGCACAAUGGGCGGAAGCCUGAUGCAGCAACGCCGCGUGCGGGAUGACGGCCUUCGGGUUGUAAACCGCUUUCGGCAGGGGCGAAGCUUGUGGUGACGGUACCGGCAGAAGAAGCACCGGCUAAUUACGG
rnacentral:rRNA from 1 species